UAUAUCUAACUCUUUCGUACUGUACCAAGCACCCAUUACUCGAUUUUCACUCUACCCAUGCAUCGCAUCUUUUUCUUCUUCAUCUUCUUCUAGGUCCGCUUUGCAUGCUUCAUUAUCAUAUAUAGCUGUCCGAUCCGCAGUUCCCACGAAAAAGUGAAAUGACAAAAACGGGAUGAGCAAAAAAAAACACUCGCAAACGGACGAUUAAUGUUGAAAAAAGGAGACGCGAAAAAACAUGUGUGGCCGAAAAGGACGACCCUCGAUCCAUUGUUUGAGAUUGAAAAGGAAUCAACGUGAUUUGCAUACGCAGGACGAUAGAAAAACAGGAGAGCGAGAGCAAGCGAGAAAGAGAGAGAGAGAGAGGGCACGGCUGCUCAACCACCACCACCACCAACACAAGACCUUAUCUAUUUGUCUUGGGCCCAGAGGCCAGGAUCUCAGCCAGCGUUUUAUUCAAAUUUCGUUCGUGUGAAGAAUGCUUCGGAUGCCUGGAGCCUGGGAACAUCCGAAAAAACACAGAGACCGAGACGCCGCUUCACUUAAAAGAUCUUCCUUAAGGUUGUCCUUUUGCUAGACAUUUGUUAGACAGGCCAUAAGCUAUGCCAGCUCUAAUUAGCUAGACAAAGUAAAAGUAAAAAUUUCGAGAUCCCUUGCUUUGCAUAUUUGAGGUUAAGAUUAUGUUGCCCGAGCCACGUGACGUUCGGCUUAAGCAGGCGAUUAUGCAAUUUUUUCCCAUCAUCACCAUUCGAUUUCUGCACUCAUAAUUGCAUUUCAACAAUGUUUGACAACAGUAAAACAGUCAAGAGUUAUCCCAGCCUUGCAUUUGCAUGCGAAUCUUCAGGUAAUCACGGCACUCCCUGCUGACUUGCGAAAUUUGCAUAGGUUUCGCACAGGGUGCACUCGAGAUUUGCAUAACUAAGCCUGGCGAACGAUGCGCUGAAAAGGGACAACAAUUGCAGCAAUAUAAUCCGCUAAGUGGGCACACUCCGGGGUUAAUGCCUAA